rnacentral:rRNA from 1 species
GUCUACGCGAAGAACCUUAUCUGCUCUUGACAUGCCCGGACGGUUUCCAGAGAUGGAUUCCUCCCUCUUCGGGUCCGGGCACAGGUGAUGCAUGGCUGUCG